UUACGGCCACAUCACACUGAAACGCCGGUUCCUGUACGAUCACCGAAGUUAAGCAACGUCAAGCCUAGUCAGUACCUAGAUGGGAGACUGCUUGGGAAAUCCAGGUGCUGUAAG